rnacentral:snRNA from 1 species
GUAUCUACCUGGCAGGCGAGACACCAUGAUCAGGAAGGUGAUUUUCCCAGGGCGAGGCUCAUCCAUUGCUCUGCGGGUGUGCUGACCCUGUGAUUUUCCCAAAUGCGGGAAACUCGACUGCAUAAUUUGUGGUAGUGGGGGACUGCCUUUGCGCUCUCCCCUA